rnacentral:rRNA from 1 species
AUUGAACGCUGGCGGCAGGCCUAACACAUGCAAGUCGAGCGGUUGAGGUAGCUUGCUGCCGAUGCAGCGGCGGACGGGUGAGUAAUACAUGGGAAUCUGCCUGGUAGUGGGGGACAACGUUUCGAAAGGAAUGCUAAUACCGCAUACGCCCUACGGGGAAAGGGGGGGAGUCUUCGGACCUCUCGCUAUCAGAUGAGCCCAUGUCGGAUUAGCUUGUUGGUGAGGUAAAGGCUCACCAAGGCGACGAUCCGUAACUGGUCUGAGAGGAUGAUCAGUCACACUGGAACUGAGACACGGUCCAGACUCCUACGGGAGGCAGCAGUGGGGAAUAUUGGACAAUGGGCGAAAGCCUGAUCCAGCAAUGCCGCGUGAGUGAUGAAGGCC